rnacentral:rRNA from 1 species
AGCAGCCGCGGUAAUUCCAGCUCCAAUAGCGUAUAUUAAAGUUGUUGCAGUUAAAAAGCUCGUAGUUGAAUUUCGGGGUCAGCAAGUUGGUCGUGCCACUGGUAUGCACUGGCUUUACUGAUUCCUCCUUCUUGAAGAACUGUAAUGCUAUUAAUUUAGUGUUGCAGGGAAACAGGACUGUUACUUUAGAAAAAAUUAGAGUGUUUAAAGCAGGCUAACGCUUGAAUACAUUAGCAUGGAAUAAUGAAAUAGGACGUUUGAUCCUAUUUUGUUGGUUUCUAGGAUUGACGUAAUGAUUAAUAGGGAUAGUUGGGGGCAUUAGUAUUCAAUUGUCAGAGGUGAAAUUCUUGGAUUUAUUGAAGAUUAACUACUGCGAAAGCAUUUGCCAAGGAUGUUUUCAUUAAUCAAGAACGAAAGUUAGGGGAUCGAAGACGAUCAGAUACCGUCGUAGUCUUAACCAUAAACUAUGCCGACUAGGGAUCGGAUGAU